ensembl:lncRNA
GUCAAGUCUCUCGCUUCUUCACGUGGAUCCUUUUUGCUCUGCUAAAGACCCCUAUCCAGAGCAGAGUGAAGACUCCGGGCAAUAUUUUUAGAAAAGGAAAACCUGAAAAACAAGACACCUGUCACUUGUGGAAUGGUGGUGAUGUGAUCCCAUUGUCUCUAAGAUCACGUGACAACAUUUUAUGAAAGGGAAGACAGCUGGGUGCAGUUGACUUCUUCUUGUCUGUUUCGUAGUGUGCAGAUAGCUGCUACAGUGUUCACAGUUUACAUGUUUGGUGUACAGUCACCAUGAAAAUUGCUAUUUUUGUGCUGUUUGUGUGCCUUCUUCUUCCUGUGCAGCCUGAAGAGAUAGAUCACUGUAAGUAAACACUACAGUCACCUUGGUUUCCUCAGUCAUCAGAUAAUAUGUAGUUCGGUUUCUGCUGAAGAGUGCCUCUGUUAACUGUUCUAUUAUUAACAGACACCUACUGUGAGACUUGUUUAACAGUGGCACAAGGUAUGUUGGACAAUAAAUCAUUAUGGCUAAGAGCUUUUUUAUUAAUGGUUUCUGAUAACCCAGUAGCACAAUCUAACAAAUGGGAUAGCCAGGAAUACAAAUAGAAAACAAAAGACAAAAGAAAAGGGGAAAGCAAGUCACAGUCUAUAAAUACCUUACAGAGCUUGAGAAAUCCAUCAAGGAAGCCCCAGUUAAGAGCAGAAACACAGUUGUUAAACGCCUCAUCAGUGGGGCGUUGUGUGAGAAACCUCUGCCUCACAGUCACCAUGUCUCUAAGGACAAACUGACAUCAGCCUGCAGACACUUGUUAGGUAAGGUAACAUCAGAUAUGUCAAGUAAUUUAUCUUGUAUUCAAGAACUUAUUCUGGAUUUGCCAUUCAGAGUCUCACCGUGGCCAGUUCUAUGAAGCUCUGGUGAACAAAGAGCCGAAGAAUCUGGAUAUAGCUCUGUGUUAUGAGCAGUCCAACUCAUGUGUGGGGGUUAAACGCCAGACUUUUGAGGAUUCUAAAGGCGCUUUUACUGAAAGUGACAUUGAUGCUUUACUUCGGGACAACAAGGAAAAUGUUCGCAUUGCUCAGCCGAUACAUUCAGGUUCCCCUGUGCACACAGGAGAUGAACUCUGAGAAUUUCAGCAUCAUUUACUGUUUACUACUGUAAAUUCUGGACAUCAGUAAAAUAAAUAAAUCACUAAAAAAACAUAAACCAAUAAUUUUGUCUUUAAAUUAUACCUUAUGCUGUGUUGAGUUGUUACUUUUCUAAAGAAUUUAUUCAGCCUCAGAUAAGGAGUGUAUAUUCAUUAAUGAAC